CAACUCUCAUUUCUCCCUUUCUUACCUGAUCUCAGAAUUCUACUUUUUCUGCUGAGAAUAUAGUCACUCAGAAUAAAAAUUACAUUUCCUGGCCUUUCUUGCAGCUAGGUAUAGCCAUGUGUCUAAGCUGUGAACAUUGGAGUAUAAACAAAAGUGAUGUGUUCAACUCUCAAGACGUAUUUUUACAGAGUGCGAAUACUCUUCUUUCUCAUGGUUGGAAUGUAGACGUAAUGGUUGGAGCACAAGCAGCCACAUUAAACCAUGAGUUAGGAAACUGAUAUUAAGGGCAGUGAAGCAACCAGGUGGAAGGAGCUUGGAUCUUUGAUGAUCAUGGAUCUUCUGUAUCCAGCCUGGACCUAUCUCAGAAUUUUAAGUUUCCUGGUAUGGACCAAAGGCAAACAAACAAAAACUUCCCUCUUAUGUAAGCUACUUAAAGCUGAAUAUAGUCUAAAGUGGAUAGAUGGUUUGUUGGAUGAUACUGGGGUAUUUCAUCCAGUCACAGGAAGAACGAAGGCACUGGAGAGUCUUCAGGGAGAACUCACUAUGGAACAAUGGAACUCAUGAUGAUUCUAGGGCAUUCUAUAAGGAGGGAACUAAGAAAAGGGACAUCAUAGGAGCCAGGAAAAUGGACCGCAACAAUGAUCAGCUGUUUUUUGGAAAAACAAAAAGCCCAAGGCUUUGGGGUACAUGUGAAGAACAUGCAAGGUCGUUGCAUAGGGGUCUUCCAUUGGCUGGAGCCAUCAGAGGCCAGAAGACAGAGAGCCCAUGAUCCGCAGAUACGACUGGGACCUGGAGCAGAGGAAGGAAGGGAUGGAGUGGAGAGAGACAGAAAGUCAGCAGCGCAAGAGUUGAGUUGUCUUAGCUCAGACUCUUGUGUGUUGUGGCCUGGGUCUUCUGAAGGGGGUUCAGGGCAUGGGGUGGCCUGCCUCUGUCUCAGUCUCCCAGGACUAGCAGACCCUUCCCACACCAUCCCAGGGCACCGGAUGGACAGUCUCUUCUCAUGCCAAGCUGCCAGGAUUUGGGGCAAAAGAGCUGCCGUGGAAAUUCAAAGCAAAACAGCCAGAAGUCUCUUUGAAGAGCACUUCAUUAACAAAGGACUUAGAAGAGAUAGGAAGAAAAAGGCUCUGGCCAGCAGGCAGCCGGUGAAGCAGCGCCAUGACUGCCUGAGAAAAGCGAGCUAUAUGUGGAGACUGGCUCUCCGAUCUUCCCCAGACCCCCUCACUGACCCUUAGACAAACAGGAGGGAUGGGGAGCCCGAAGCUGAGAAUCGAGAAUCUGGGGUCCAGCCCCAGCUCUACCACUAACUCUGUGUAAUCUUGAGCAGGAUAGAGUCAUUCUCACUGCACCUCAGCUUCCCCAUCUGUGAAAUGGGGAUAAUGUUACAAAGUGACAUAGGUCAGGUUCUCAGAAGCAGGGAGUCUCAUGCAAGUCAUUUAUUGGUUGGAGGGGGUGCUCUGGGGUGACACCUACAGGGGUAAAGGAAACAGGAAAGCAAGGAAGGAAGCCAGGCAAAGAUGUGGGUCCAGCUGAAGCCUAGUCUCAGCCCCAUCCCUCAGGGAGCUCUGGAGUAGAGCUGAGAGCGGUCCCCUUGAGACAUAUGCAGGGCUUUGUGUCCAUCUUGGGGCAGGCUGAGGUCCCUGUCCGUCCCCUGCUAUAGUUGACUGCAUAGUGGCCCACAAAGGUGUCCACAUCCUCAUCCCCGGAACCUGUGGAUGAGAUGGUAGAAUCUAACAUGGUAAUGGGCCUUUGCAGCUACCAGUCAGCUAAGGGUCUUGAGAUGCAGAUGGUAUCCCGUGCUGUCCAAUCAGGCCCAGUGUUAUCACAAGGGGAAGGCUAGUAGAUCCAGUGGGGGAGGUAACACUGUAAGUGAAGGCUGGAAGGAUGUGAGGAAGGGGCCCCAAGCCAAGGAAUGCAGGCAGUCCCUAGAAGCUGAAAAAGACAAGGAAACAGAUUCUCCCGUGGCCUUCAGAAGGAGCUCAGCCCUGCUGCCAUCCUGGUUUUCGACUUCUGACUUCCAGAACCGUAAGAGAAUGCAAUCCAUGGAUACAGGUCUAAUCCACCUCCAUGGAUACACGUUUAAUCCACCGAAGGAGUG
rnacentral:lncRNA from 13 species